GGGGCUGAUUCUGGAUUCGACGGGAUUUGCGAAACCCAAGGUGCAUGCCGAGGGGCGGUUGGCCUCGUAAAAAUCCGCAAAAAAUAGUCGCAAACGACGAAAACUACGCUUUAGCAGCUUAAUAACCUGCUUAGAGCCCUCUCUCCCUAGCCUCCGCUCUUAGGACGGGGAUCAAGAGAGGUCAAACCCAAAAGAGAUCGCGUGGAAGCCCUGCCUGGGGUUGAAGCGUUAAAACUUAAUCAGGCUAGUUUGUUAGUGGCGUGUCCGUCCGCAGCUGGCAAGCGAAUGUAAAGACUGACUAAGCAUGUAGUACCGAGGAUGUAGGAAUUUCGGACGCGGGUUCAACUCCCGCCAGCUCCACCA
rnacentral:tmRNA from 1 species